rnacentral:rRNA from 1 species
UACGAAGGGUGCAAGCGUUACUCGGAAUUACUGGGCGUAAAGCGUGCGUAGGUGGUGAGUUAAGUCUGAUGUGAAAGCCCUGGGCUCAACCUGGGAAUGGCAUUGGAAACUGGCGACCUAGAGUGCGGUAGAGGGUAGUGGAAUUCCCGGUGUAGCAGUGAAAUGCGUAGAGAUCGGGAGGAACAUCCGUGGCGAAGGCGACUACCUGGACCAGCACUGACACUGAGGCACGAAAGCGUGGGGAGCAAACAGG